AUCUCCCCUUUCUUUUCUCUUUCUUCCUGGACAACGACAGGAGAGGCACGCACUGUGGUCCUCCCCACCACCACCGAGAGCCACCACUCCACCUGCUCCCUCCCCUCUCUUUUUAAUCCCUCUUCUGCCCCCUCCGAACCCUAGCCUUUCUCCCUCCAUUGCGCCGCCACCAUCCUUCUCUUCCCUCAGUUCGUUUUCCCCUUUCUCUGUUCUCUGUGAGGAAACAAGCAACACACCGCACCACCUCGCCAUGGUGCCGCCGCUGCAGGUCGCCCCUCGCCGAUCCCAAGCCACCGAAAGAUGCGCCUCUUCUUCCUCUCUCUCCUCACCAAAGGAAUCGACCUGGGGACGCUCCAAUUGCCGACAAAUUUGCCGAUUCCUUCUCCAACGCCGGCGGGAAAAGCUUCAAUUCAAGCUACCUCCGCCGUCCUCCGGCCUCACCGACGCAUCCAAUCGCUUCCCGGUGCUUGAUGCCGGGCCGUCUUCGGCGACCCCCUGGUCCUUGGAGUCGCUCAGUAGCAUCCCUGUGGACUCCUGCUUCGAGCCCGCCAUCUCGCUUGCCCCGUCUCGGUCUCCCCCGAUGGAUCCUUGGACGACCAGAUCCUCCCCGCCAUGGUCGUUCUAUCCAAGGUCCGCGCCUGGGUCUGCUCAAAAGGUCGCGCACCAGAAACACGACAUGAUCCGAAUCAGUAGUGCAGUGAUCCGAAGCUGCAGUUGGGCCUCAGCCCACCCACUGCGAGUUUCUUCAUCGCCCAGACAGUGGUAGGCUGCUAUCCGCCGCCGCCUCUCCUCAGGUAUGAAGAUAUGUUCGAUGAAGACGACGCUAGCAAGGUUACCCUUCCGGCUUGGCCUGGGCAGGGUUAUGGACGCCACUGGUUAUCUUCAGGACUCUUAGUCCAAAUUUGUAUCUUGUCCGUACUCGGAUAUAUUUGAUCUUCUGUAUGAUUUGGAUCUUUGUAUGUAUCUAUUUGUAUCUUGACUCGUUGGAGUCGUUGCUGUAAUAUAUCUGUUUCUUGUGGGCUCUA